GACGAACGCUGGCGGCGUGCUUAACACAUGCAAGUCGAACGAAGUGGCGAACGGGUGAGUAAUACGUGGGGAAACUGCCCUCAUUUUUGGGAUAAGCCUUGGAAACGGGUACUAAUGCCGACUAACGGGGGAUGGGCGCGCGGCCUAUCAGCUGGUUGGGGGGGUGAUGGCCUACCACGGCGGUGACGGGUAGCCGGCCUGAGAGGGUGACCGGCCAAAUUGGAACUUGGAUACGGCCCAGACUCCUACGGGAGGCAGCAGUGGGGAAUAUUGCACAAUGGGCGCAAGCCUGAUGCAGCCAUGCCGCGUGUAUGAAGAAGGCCUUAGGGUUGUAAAGUACUUUCAGCGGGGAGACGUUACCCGCAGAAGAAGCACCGGCUAACUCCGUGCCAGCAGCCGCGGUAAUAC
rnacentral:rRNA from 1 species